UACGAAGGGGGCUAGCGUUGCUCGGAAUUACUGGGCGUAAAGGGAGCGUAGGCGGACAGUUUAGUCAGUGGUGAAAGCCCAGGGCUCAACCUUGGAAUUGCCAUUGAUACUGAUUGUCUUGAGUAUGGGAGAGGUGUGCGGAACUCCGAGUGUAGAGGUGAAAUUCGUAGAUAUUCGGAAGAACACCAGUGGCGAAGGCGGCACACUGGCCCAUUACUGACGCUGAGGCUCGAAAGCCAGGGGAGCGAACGGG
rnacentral:rRNA from 1 species